rfam:Amycolatopsis orientalis HCCB10007, complete genome.
GGCGCGUUGGUCCAGCGGAAGGGAUACCGGGUUUUCACCCCGGUGACGUGGGUUCGACUCCCACACGCGCUA